CCCUGAAAGUGAUUCUCCAAAAUGAUGUAGGAUUGGAGCCUUCUGUAUUUCAGAUAAUCGUGCUAGCUCCCUUGCAGUUGAUUGCUGUUACUGGAAUGAAGAUGAGAAAGACCUCCCAUGCGACCUGUGACAUGACUGCAAUGGUGCCGAGAAGCUGGAUCAUUGAGAAAGCUGCCCAGCCCAAUCUUUGUGCCAUUUCCAAGUCCAAUACGCUUUGGUCAGAUGAUGCCUGUAUAUGUAGUUUUCAUUGAAGCACUGAGAGAGAAAGGCAGCAGAGUCUUUCACAUCAACCUCUGGGAUCUCAUCCUGCUCAAGUGGCUUUUUUUUUCCAAUGACAAACAGUGGAUUCAGCCAUGAGAAGGCUGACUGAUGCAAAAAAACCAAGAAAAUCUGCAUACUCUUGAAUCCUAAGCUGCCCAUGAUUGUCCAUUACAAAAUUAAAAGCAACAGCAACAUGACAAGCUGUGAUCAAGAAGCUGCAAACCCACCAGAAUCUUAGAAUUCCGGGGAAAAUGAGCUGCGAGAGCAGGAACAUAGUGAUCGCACGAAAUCUUGUUUCCUUUUACCAGCAGGCAUAAAGAAGUCAAGUGCACACUCAAAAGCAAAGUGGAAGAAACAAUGCUAACUUUUGAGCAAAGGCUUAAUCUUGCAUUAUCAGGGCUACCAAAACAUGUUACUUAUUGCUGUUUUAGAUGAAUGAUCUUACUCCAUGACUCCCAUCACAUAGCGCGAAGUCAAGAAUAUGAAGAGCAAUACUCCCAAGUCCCAACUUCUAACAAUGCUGCAAGAGAUGAAGUUUCAACCUAAUUGUAUAUCCAUCCAUAUACAUAUCAUAAUGCAGUUUUCAGGCCUUAUUCAUGGUCUUUAUUUCUA